GUCCAUAUGCAAGGCGGUGAAUAACCUGCAAUCUCUAUGACCAUCUGCGCUGAAUUUGACAACUACGCUAAACCCCCCCCCCCCAUUUUUAAAGCAUGCAAAUGUACAAAUGACAUUCGUACUGCUGCAGCAUGCAGCAUUUGAUGAAGUUCUUAUGGCCGAAAUCCACGGUGUAUUGCCGUAUACACACAUGCUGUCCUCCACAGCGUGGUGCUCUCUGUCCUCACACCAGACUGAUUCCGAUUUAAUUUGCCGGCACAAAGUCUCUGCUUGGAAGUUAAAGUAAAUACACGGGGGGCUGCAUUUGUUCUUCUGGUUCUUAACCUCGGAUUCGGGGCAAUUUAAAAGCAUCACAGCCGCAAAAAAAGAACAUCGGAGAGAAUAGAGCCGUGGACCACGGUGAUGUGGCAUUCAGCCAGUUCGGAAAGAAAUACUGGCUGUUAAAAUGGCACGCAUUUCAGAGGAGGCCGUUAAAAGGACUGCAGAGUUUCCCCCACGCCCCUGUCACCAGGGUUAGCCAUAACGAAGCCGUACGCUCGGCCAAGGUGCGACCCACCGUCAGCCUUCCAGCCACCUCUGUUACCGUUUCCAGGCAUGUCACGACUAUGGUGCAAAAGUCACCACAUAAACAAAUUAGUGCCAGUCCAAUGAAACGCGAGACAGCUUCUUCUGUACAGUGUCUAUGGGGAUUACGGCGCGUGCGGCGCAGAGGAUUAUACAAAACAGUCUCCAACUUCGGGAUUUUAGGGCUAUCCACGAUGGGUAAUUAAGGAAGUGCUUCAGCCCCGUUUGGUCGCUGCAUCAGGCUUAAAGACAUUAAGUUUCAUAUCGGAAGCACCGACUGGGUUUUCCUGUCAACGCAGAUGGUCUUAGGGGCUUAUUUCCUCUGUAUCUGAGCGUCUUGCAACAUCAGUCAGAGAAUAACUUGAAGCUGGAGUUACAUCAAUUUGUUCCCGAAACAAGGCUCCAAAGCCUCCCACCAGUAGAGCCUGUUUUGGCGCAGUGCUGGCUUUGGUUGGCGCUAGAGGCGUUGGAUGCAAUCACACCUAUACCAGCCAGCGUUGACCCGCCCCCCCAUCAUCCAGCGGUACCAAGACGCUCCAUCAUCCAGAACGUUCUGCAGAUGUUCUGCCCUGCUGAUUGCUACGAUCGGAGUCGUACACACAUGCAAAUGGUGACAUAAGGAAUAUAGGUUUGUUUAAUGGUCCGCUUCUGUGACAAAUGUGACGUAGCUCCGCCGCGGCGGGAGCGACGGACGGGUGGCGGCAAGGUCGAGCCCCGCGCUGUGGAACGGUAAUGAGAUGUAAAGCAGCUACGCGAGGCUCCGGAAAUCGCCGUGCAGCUCGGCGGAGAUGAGGCACACAUGCGCUGGAGAACAAUGCUAAGCCUAGACCUGAUUAGCCCCCUGUUUAGCCGUCUCAGCGGCAUGGGGUACGCUAACACGUUAGCCGGGCUCUUUCUAAAACCCACUCCAUGGUCGGUCUUCAUCAGGACCCCGGGCCGUCCGUCCAUUUGCCAGCUCGGCCUUGCUUAUUAUAUUCCCUAAGCUCCAUUCUGCUGGCUGCGCGUUAAGAGCCAGGAUCUGCCCUGGGGGUGCGUCCCCAUCCUGCUGUCACUGUUCCAGGGCUCAAAGGAGACUCUGCUACAGAGAAAAAUAAACACUCAUCUCUA